rnacentral:rRNA from 1 species
GCUCAGUAACACGUGGAUAACCUGCCCUUAGGACCGGCAUAAUCUCGGGAAACUGAGGAUAAUUCCGGAUAGCUCUUUUUGGCCGGAAAUGCAUUAAGAGUAAAAGUAUCUCGCCUAAGGAUGGGUCUGCGGCCUAUCAGGUAGUAGAGGGUGUAACGCACCUUCCAGCCGACAACGGGUACGGGUUGUGAGAGCAAGAGCCCGGAGAUGGAUUCUGAGACAUGAAUCCAGGCCCUACGGGGCGCAGCAGGCGCGAAAACUUUACAAUGCAGGAAACUGUGAUAAGGAAACACCGAGUGCCCGCAUCUAAUGCGGGCUGUCCGCGUACCCAAAUCGUACGCGUCAGCAAGGACCGGGCAAUACCGGUGCCAGCCGCCGCGGUAAUACCGGUGGUCCGAGUGGUAGCCGCUUUUAUUUGGUCUAAAGGGUCCGUAGCCGGUCCGGUCAGUCCAUUGGUAAAUCCGCGCGCUCAACACGCGGUCUUCAGUGGAUACUUCCGGACUUGGGACCGGGAGAGGUAAGAGGUACUAUAGGGGUAGGAGUGAAAUCCUGUAAUCCUUAUGAGACCACCUGUGGCGAAGGCGUCUUACCGGAACGGGUCCGACGGUGAGGGACGAAAGCUGGGGGCACGAACCGGAUUAGAUACCCGGGUAGUCCCAGCCGUAAACUAUGCCCGCUGGGUGUCAGGCAUGGCAUGACUGUGUCCGGUGCCGUAGAGAAGUCGUGAAGCGGGCCACCUGGGAAGUACGGCCGCAAGGCUGAAACUUAAAGGAAUUGGCGGGGGAGCACUACAACGGGUGGAGCCUGCGGUUUAAUUGGACUCAACGCCGGAAAACUCACCAGGGGAGACAGCAAUAUGUAGGUCAGGCUGAAGGUCUUACCUGAAUCGCUGAGAGGAGGUGCAUGGUCGUCGCCAGUUCGUACUGUGAAGCAUCCUGUUAAGUCAGGCAACGAGCGAGACCCGUGCCUGCAGUUGUCAGCAUUAUCUCCGGAUAGAUGGAUACUCUGCAGGGACCGCCGGUGUUAAAUCGGAGAAAGGAGUGGACGACGGUA